AUUGAACGCUGGCGGCAUGCCUUACACAUGCAAGUCGAACGGUAGAGGGGGCAACCCCUCGAGAGUGGCGAACGGGUGAGUAAAGCAUCGGAACGUGCCCAGUAGUGGGGGAUAGCCCGGCGAAAGCCGGAUUAAUACCGCAUGAGACCUACGGGUGAAAGGGGGGGAUCGCAAGACCUCUCGCUAUUGGAGCGGCCGAUGUCAGAUUAGGUAGUUGGUGGGGUAAAGGCCUACCAAGCCGACGAUCUGUAGCUGGUCUGAGAGGACGACCAGCCACACUGGGACUGAGACACGGCCCAGACUCCUACGGGAGGCAGCAGUGGGGAAUUUUGGACAAUGGGCGCAAGCCUGAUCCAGCCAUGUCGCGUGCGGGAAGAAGGCCUUCGGGUUGUAAACCGCUUUUGUCAGGGAAGAAAUCCUUUGAGCUAAUACCUCGGGGGGAUGACGGUACCUGAAGAAUAAGCACCGGCUAACUACGUGCCAGCAGCCGCAGUAACAC
rnacentral:rRNA from 1 species